rnacentral:rRNA from 1 species
GAUGAACGCUGGCGGCGUGCCUAACACAUGCAAGUCGAGCGAUUCUCUUCGGAGAAGAGCGGCGGACGGGUGAGUAACGCGUGGGUAACCUGCCCUGUACACACGGAUAACAUACCGAAAGGUAUGCUAAUACGGGACAAUAUGCUUUAGUCGCAUGGCUGAAGUAUCAAAGCUCCGGCGGUACAGGAUGGACCCGCGUCUGAUUAGCUAGUUGGUAAGGUAAUGGCUUACCAAGGCGACGAUCAGUAGCCGACCUGAGAGGGUGAUCGGCCACAUUGGAACUGAGACACGGUCCAAACUCCUACGGGAGGCAGCAGUGGGGAAUAUUGCACAAUGGGCGAAAGCCUGAUGCAGCAACGCCGCGUGAGCGAUGAAGGCCUUCGGGUCGUAAAGCUCUGUCCUCAAGGAAGAUAAUGACGGUACUUGAGGAGGAAGCCCCGGCUAACUACGUGCCAGCCGCCGCCGUAA